AACGAACGCUGGCGGCAUGCCUAACACAUGCAAGUCGAACGAGACCUUCGGGUCUUUUGGCGCACGGGUGCGUACCGUGUGGGAACCUGCACUUAGGUUCGGAAUAACUCCCCGAAAGGGGUGCUAAUACCGGAUAAUGUAUUCGCGCCUAAGAUUUAUCGCCUUUGGAUGGGCCCGCGUUGGAUUAGCGAGUUGGUAGGGUAAUAGCCUACCAUGGCGACGAUCCAUAGCUGGUCUGAGAGGAUGAUCAGCCACACUGGGACUGCGGCACGGCCCAGACUCCUACGGAACGCAGCAGAGGGUAAUAUUGGACAAGGGGGGAAGGCGUGAUCCAGCAAUGCCGCGGGAGUGAUGAAGGCCGUAGGAUUGUAAAUCUCUUUUACCCGGGACGAGAAUGACGGUACCGGGAGAAUAAGCACCGGCUAACUCCGUG
rnacentral:rRNA from 1 species